UUUUCAAACAUUUAAUCAAAGGCAAGAUGUGUAAGAUAAAUGAAUGCAGACAAAUUUGGAAACCUGCCUGCUAACCAUCUUAGGAAAGGAUCUAUUCCAACCCAGCACCUGGCAGAGUUGAUUUUCCCCUAUUUCUGAUCAAAAUGUCAAGCAAACCAGAGGUGAGAGAGCAAUUCCAAGGCUGAGAGAGGAAGAUUUGCCCGGUGCUAACACCUGCUGCCAAUCUUCCACUUUUUUUGCUUGAGGAAAAUUAGACCUGAGCUAACAUCUGUGCCAAUCUUCCUUUAUUUCGUAUGUGGGUCACCA
rnacentral:lncRNA from 1 species